rnacentral:rRNA from 1 species
AGCAGCCGCGGUAAUUCCAGCUCCAAUAGCGUAUAUUAAAGUUGUUGCAGUUAAAAAGCUCGUAGUUGAAUUUCGGGAUCAAUACGUCGGUCGUGCUUCGGUACGUACUGGCGUAAUUGAUUUCUCCCUUCUGACGAACCAUGAUGUCAUUAACUUGGUGUCAUGGGAAAUCAGGACUGUUACUUUGAAAAAAUUAGAGUGUUUAAAGCAGGCUCACGCUUGAAUACAUUAGCAUGGAAUAAUGAAAUAGGACGUUCGAUCCUAUUUUGUUGGUUUUUAGGAUCAACGUAAUGAUUAAUAGGGAUAGUUGGGGGCAUUAGUAUUCAAUUGUCAGAGGUGAAAUUCUUGGAUUUAUUGAAGACUAACUACUGCGAAAGCAUUUGCCAAGGAUGUUUUCAUUAAUCAAGAACGAAAGUUAGGGGAUCGAAGACGAUCAGAUACCGUCGUAGUCUUAACCAUAAACUAUGCCGACUAGGGAUCGGAUGAUGUUAAUUUUUAAUGACUCAUUCGGCGCCUUACG